rnacentral:rRNA from 1 species
UACGGGGGGGGCAAGCGUUGUUCGGAAUUACUGGGCGUAAAGGGCUCGUAGGUGGCCAACUAAGUCGGACGUGAAAUCCCUCAGCUUAACUGGGGAACUGCAUCCGAUACUGGAUGGCUCGAGUUUGGGAGAGGGAUGCGGAAUUCCAGGUGUAGCGGUGAAAUGCGUAGAUAUCUGGAGGAACACCGGUGGCGAAGGCGGCAUCCUGGACCAACACUGACACUGAGGAGCGAAAGCCAGGGGAGCAAACGGG